GUGAAGUUAUGGGCCUAUGAUAUCCUGACAGGAUAUCACAAGCAAAGCAUAAGGAUAUCUUCAAUAUUAGACAACUUCAGUAUAUCAAAAUGAUUAGUCUGGCUAGUUAGCUCAUUGAGAAUGUUAACUGGCUACAUUAGGGUUAGGCUGGUCGUGUGGCGUAAUCAGUUUUAUUGUGAAAGGUUUAACAGGAAGUGAACGUCGGGUGAGCCGGCAGCUAAAGAGAGAAAUGGUUCGCGGGGAUUUUGAAAGUACCAGUGUGAGUUGCUCUACAACAAGAAGAUGUCUGACGAAAAAGCGGGAGCUAGCGCAACAGCUACACAGCCUCGCACGCCACCACCCCAGCAACAAGCAAACACCGGGGGACAGGGGAAGAGGCCGUACGGCUACGAGAUUAGCUAAGCUAAGCUAGCGAGACAGUAAAGACACGUGGCAUCACAUUGGAUCCACUGGUGCAGCUGAUCUGAUCGACUAAAGCUCUGUGGUUUAGAUGAGGUGUGGGCAGCCCCUCACCAGAUGUGCCAGCAGCUCUUACAAAGGAUGGGGAUGCAGACUUCCUUGUGUUUGCCUUGUCACCUCCCUUCAGUGAGGAAGCCCCAAUCAGAAGACACCGAGAGAUGCGUGUUGUCAAUUUUCUUCAGGGUUUCUUGCAUAAGUUGGAAGAUGAUGAUAAAAGCACAUAAAUAUCCACCUUCUCUGGAAGUACAGGAGUCAGGGUCUGAGAAUGUAAGUAGGACCCUGCAGGCAGCAGCAUCAUACCAGCUGGUGAGUCUGUAGGAGGAGAUGGAGUGGUGUUCUCUCUCUGACUCUGCUGCACAGGUGCGAAAAGUGUCGCCAGCUGCUCUGAGUGAAACAAUCCCCUGUCUGUGAUAUGAGGAAACUCCUUGAAUCCCAUAACCAGGUCAUGGUAUGGCCAGAGGACUAGAUUGUUCAUGGAGUCCAAAUGGCUGCUGUUUAAAGGACAGUUCCUCAAGUUUGUGAUGAGCAUCUGACGUACGCUGACUGGACUCACCGGCUCAGCUACGAGAAAAAAAUAAAUAAGAGGGAUGCAGACUUUCUCUUGACUGUUAGAGAUGGGUGUCAUCAGUUUUCGUCAGGAUUUCUAUCAGAAGUUGGAAGAAGAUGGUAAAAGCACAUAAAUAUCCAGCUUCUCUGGAAGUACCGGAGUCAGGAUCUGAGAAUGGCGGUGUGAUGCUGCAGGCAGCACCAUCAUACCAGCUGGUGUGGUAUUUUAAUGAGGAAAAUUCUUUUCGGUGGUGUCUCUUCUUAUUUCUCCUUUUCUUCUCACUUUUAAAAACAAAAGGCAGAAAAGCAACAAUAACAGUUAAAACCUCAAGAUGUUUUCUAACAUUUUGUGACAUCAUUUUAGAGACAACCUUAAACAUGACGUACUACUUACAACUUUGUUGAUUCUUGCUGAUGUCUGAGAUGCAGCAGAGGAUAAUGUACACUUGGCACUGUCUUUAUUGAUCCUUAGUACACUUUGCAUAGAUUUACAGUUGGCUCUAUAAUAUAUGCCCCUGGUUCAACAUCCAGUCCAUAGCCAUGCCAUAUGUCCAACACAGUUCACAGAAGCAGUGCCAAAGUCUUAAAACUAUAAAAGUAAAAAAAAACUUCUCUGAGAAAGGCUUCACAGUCUGAAGCGCUUCCUUGGUGGAGUGGUGCUCCUGUUGCUGCUCUCUUCCUCUGUAGCCUUUCUCUUUGCACCCUGUGCAAACGUCCUCAGAAACCAGCAGAACACCGACAUGAUAACUCCGCCCUCUGAGCUGUAGUCCGUAACUCUCCAGCGGUUUGUCAUUUCACUGAUGACUGAUGAUGGUGAGGCCGCUGACAUCCAGGGUGUGGACACAGUUCCUCAGGUCUGCCUUCAGCACAAAAAUAUCUGCCUUGUCUGGAAGUACUGGAGUCAGGAUCUGAGAAUGGAGGCGUGACGCUGCAGGCAGCACCAUCAAACCAGCUGGUGAGUCUGUAGGAGUCUCUGCAGCACGGUUCUAAAAGGUGUCAUCAGCUGCUCUGAGUAAAACAAUCCUCUGACUGCGAUAUGAGGAAACUAAUUGGAUCCCGUAGCCAGGUCGUGGUAUAGUGAGAGGACUAGAUCUUUCAUGGAGUCCAAAUGGCUGGGGCUCAAAGAAACGGUUCCUCAAGUUUGUGAUGAGCAUCUGACGUACACUGACUGGACUCACCAGCUCAGCUACGAGAAAAUGAAAUGGUCAUCUGUGUUAAUCAUGACGUAAUCAGACAAAUUAAGGAUUUAUAUCAUCAUAUGCCAUUUCCACACACAGGCAGUCGUUAGCCUCACUGCAGAAGUCAUUGUUUUUGAAAGCCUAAAGAUUGGUAGAAGGCGAGAGAAAUGAUUUUGCACGUAAUGCGUACAAGAUCAAAUUUGGUCACAUCUCUGAGGACUCCCUAACCCUAACCUCCCCCAAAACCAAGCUAGGUAUCAUUCCCCCCCCCCCCCCCCAGCUUUGUAGCAUUUUGGACUCUCCUGGACUUUCAAUGUUAACUCGACCACCUGACACUACUGACUCAUCAAUUUUAUAAGGCCAGUCUAAGGUGUAAUUGUUUGCUUAAAUAUUCUGUUAUACUUAUUAGCUAAGCUUUACCACAGUGGUCAUCAAGUAUACGGGUGACGCCAAGGGACAGCAGGUACUGCUCAUGCCGUAAUCCACGGGUAGCCAUUUUUGGGUGGUUGAAUUGUUGUAUUCUUCAAGUUUUUAAAACUUUGGAAGUCGUUCGUUAAAUGUAGAGUUUUCACAGCGCUAUUACACAAACCUCCUGCUAGCACUCUCAUGUGAAAACCAAAUUCGAUUGUUGGCUUCUGCUUCUAUACCUGCCGCUCAACACGUCAUCCUCAUCACCUUGACUGUCCAUUAUUAUUUUAUGUUUAUCUAUAAAUUUGUUGAGUCUAUUAAUGAAAACUUUUUCCAGUAUUUUUGAAAAUUGAUAGUAGAGAAACAGGCCUGUAAUUUGUGAAUUGGUGUCUCUCCAUUCUUAAACAGUGGUAUUACUUUGGCUGUUUUCAUUUGUGUUGGGAAUGCACCAGUUUGUAGAGACAAAUGUGUGUAAAGGGUUUGGAGAUGUCAUCGAUAACUUUAACAAUUUCCAUAUUGAUGUCAUCAAAGUCUGUAGAAGUUUGUGUUUGUGAUUUCCCAACAAUAUCAAUGAUUUCCUUUUCUUUUACCACCUUUAAAAACAUUGAAUGAGGAUUGCGUUCAAUGAGUUUUGUUUCUUUCUCUGCACAAUUUCUUAUAUCAGGAAUUCUAUCAGCCAAGUCUGACCAAACAUUACAAAUAAUUUAUUGAACUCAUUAACCACAUCACUCAUGUUAAUAUUUCUAUCAUUAUUAGUGAAAUAUGAAGGACGAUUUAACUGCCUAAAACUAUUUUUAAUAAUGCUAUUAAAUGUUUUCCAAAUACCUUUAAUGUUAGUUUAAUUCAUAUUUAGUAAUUUCAUAAUAUUCCUUUUUACAUGACCUCAAAGUACUAGUUAAUUUAUUUAUUUUUUUAAUAUAUUUCUUGUAUUUAUUUUCAGCUUCUCUACUUCUGUACUUUAUAAGUUCUCUAUAUAAGGUUUUUUUCUUUUUACAUGCAUUUUGUAAUCCUUUUGUGAUCCAUGGGCACGCUGCAUAUUUUUCUUUUUUCCCCCCAUAUUUCUUUAUUGGGCAAUGGUUAUAUAACAGUUUAAAUUUUCCUAUAAAAGUUUCACAAGCUUUAUCAAUAUUUUUUUUCUGUAUACAACAUCUCCCAUGCUUGCUUAAGUAAAUAACUUGUAAAUGCA